AGACCCGAAACCCGGUGAUCUAGCCAUGGGCAGGUUGAAGGUUGGGUAACACUAACUGGAGGACCGAACCGACUAAUGUUGAAAAAUUAGCGGAUGACCUGUGGCUGGGGGUGAAAGGCCAAUCAAACCGGGAGAUAGCUGGUUCUCCCCGAAAGCUAUUUAGGUAGCGCCUCGUGAAUUCAUCUCCGGGGGUAGAGCACUGUUUCGGCUAGGGGGCCAUCCCGGCUUACCAACCCGAUGCAAACUGCGAAUACCGGAGAAUGUUAUCACGGGAGACACACGGCGGGUGCUAACGUCCGUCGUGAAGAGGGAAACAACCCAGACCGCCAGCUAAGGUCCCAAAGUCAUGGUUAAGUGGGAAACGAUGUGGGAAGGCCCAGACAGCCAGGAUGUUGGCUUAGAAGCAGCCAUCAUUUAAAGAAAGCGUAAUAGCUCACUGGUCGAGUCGGCCUGCGCGGAAGAUGUAACGGGGCUAAACCAUGCACCGAAGCUGCGGCAGCGAACGUAUCACUUAAAGCGAUUCAGCGGGUUACGAUUGACGGAGCGAAGCGACGUCAAAGCGUAUACAAAGUCGAGUCGGUUUAAGGAUACGUUCGUUGGGUAGGGGAGCGUUCUGUAAGCCCGUGAAGGUGGCCUGUGAGGGUUGCUGGAGGUAUCAGAAGUGCGAAUGCUGACAUAAGUAACGAUAAAGCGGGUGAAAAGCCCGCUCGCCGGAAGACCAAGGGUUCCUGUCCAACGUUAAUCGGGGCAGGGUGAGUCGACCCCUAAGGCGAGGCCGAAAGGCGUAGUCGAUGGGAAACGGGUUAAUAUUCCCGUACUUGGUGUUACUGCGAAGGGGGGACGGAGAAGGCUAUGUUGGCCGGGCGACGGUUGUCCCGGUUUAAGCGUGUAGGUGUGUGUUCCAGGUAAAUCCGGUUCACUUUAACACUGAGGCGUGACGACGAGGCACUACGGUGCUGAAGCAACAAAUGCCCUGCUUCCAGGAAAAGCCUCUAAGCAUCAGGUAACACGAAAUCGUACCCCAAACCGACACAGGUGGUCAGGUAGAGAAUACCAAGGCGCUUGAGAGAACUCGGGUGAAGGAACUAGGCAAAAUGGUGCCGUAACUUCGGGAGAAGGCACGCUGACACGUAGGUGAAGUGAUUUACUCAUGGAGCUGAAGUCAGUCGAAGAUACCAGCUGGCUGCAACUGUUUAUUAAAAACACAGCACUGUGCAAACACGAAAGUGGACGUAUACGGUGUGACGCCUGCCCGGUGCCGGAAGGUUAAUUGAUGGGGUCAGCGUAAGCGAAGCUCCUGAUCGAAGCCCCGGUAAACGGCGGCCGUAACUAUAACGGUCCUAAGGUAGCGAAAUUCCUUGUCGGGUAAGUUCCGACCUGCACGAAUGGCGUAAUGAUGGCCAGGCUGUCUCCACCCGAGACUCAGUGAAAUUGAACUCGCUGUGAAGAUGCAGUGUACCCGCGGCAAGACGGAAAGACCCCGUGAACCUUUACUAUAGCUUGACACUGAACAUUGAGCCUUGAUGUGUAGGAUAGGUGGGAGGCUUUGAAGUGUGGACGCCAGUCUGCAUGGAGCCGACCUUGAAAUACCACCCUUUAAUGUUUGAUGUUCUAACGUGGACCCGUAAUCCGGGUUGCGGACAGUGUCUGGUGGGUAGUUUGACUGGGGCGGUCUCCUCCUAAAGAGUAACGGAGGAGCACGAAGGUUGGCUAAUCCUGGUCGGACAUCAGGAGGUUAGUGCAAUGGCAUAAGCCAGCUUGACUGCGAGCGUGACGGCGCGAGCAGGUGCGAAAGCAGGUCAUAGUGAUCCGGUGGUUCUGAAUGGAAGGGCCAUCGCUCAACGGAUAAAAGGUACUCCGGGGAUAACAGGCUGAUACCGCCCAAGAGUUCAUAUCGACGGCGGUGUUUGGCACCUCGAUGUCGGCUCAUCACAUCCUGGGGCUGAAGUAGGUCCCAAGGGUAUGGCUGUUCGCCAUUUAAAGUGGUACGCGAGCUGGGUUUAGAACGUCGUGAGACAGUUCGGUCCCUAUCUGCCGUGGGCGCUGGAGAACUGAGGGGGGCUGCUCCUAGUACGAGAGGACCGGAGUGGACGCAUCACUGGUGUUCGGGUUGUCAUGCCAAUGGCACUGCCCGGUAGCUAAAUGCGGAAGAGAUAAGUGCUGAAAGCAUCUAAGCACGAAACUUGCCCCGA
rnacentral:rRNA from 1 species